CCGGGCUGGGUCCUCUGGCCAUCCGAGGAAGCACACAGCCCCACUCCUCUCGGACUGCCCGGGAGUGCGCAGAGCCCCUCUCCCCGCGGGCUGUCCGAGAGCGCGCAAAGCUCCUUCCCGGCGCGGCCCGGGCCCAGGCCGUCGGACGCUCCGGCGCUCGCGGGCCAGCUCCUCUCACCUCAUUCUUUUUCACCAUCCUUGCUAUGACCUGCCGACUCCGGCCGCCUCUCCUCUCUCUUGCCUUCCGAAAGGUUCGCCCUCAACCUCGGCAUUUGAGCCCCAUUUUCCCUGGAAACUAACAUCUCUCACUUUGCUUUUUGUAGGCACCUGGGAGGGUGAAGGCGAGAGGCAGAUGACGACGCUGAACACAGGCUCUGCAAGAAUCUCCAUAAUGAAUGGAUCCAGUGUGGCAAGUACAUCACCCAGUGUGAAAUGCAAAGAGGACCAAGGGUUAAAUGGACAUGAGGAGAAAGAAAACCCUUUUGCAGAAUACAUGUGGAUGGAAAAUGAAGAGGAUUUCAACAGACAGGUGGAGGAAGAGCUGCAGGAGCAAGACUUCUUGGACCGAUGCUUCCAGGAGAUGCUGG
rnacentral:lncRNA from 1 species